rnacentral:rRNA from 1 species
CCUACGGGUGGCUGCAGUGGGGAAUAUUGGACAAUGGGGGCAACCCUGAUCCAGCCAUGCCGCGUGUGUGAAGAAGGCCCUCGGGUUGUAAAGCACUUUCAGUGAGGAAGAACGCCUGGUGGUUAAUACCCAUCAGGAAAGACAUCACUCACAGAAGAAGCACCGGCUAACUCCGUGCCAGCAGCCGCGGUAAUACGGAGGGUGCGAGCGUUAAUCGGAAUUUCUGGGCGUAAAGCGCACGUAGGUGGCUUGAUAAGCCGGUUGUGAAAGCCCCGGGCUCAACCUGGGAACGGCAUCCGGAACUGUCAAGCUAGAGUGCAGGAGAGGAAGGUAGAAUUCCCGGUGUAGCGGUGAAAUGCGUAGAGAUCGGGAGGAAUACCAGUGGCGAAGGCGGCCUUCUGGACUGACACUGACGCUGAGGUGCGAAAGCGUGGGUAGCAAACAGGAUUAGAUACCCGAGUAGUC